rnacentral:rRNA from 1 species
AACGAACGCUGGCGGCGUGCCUAACACAUGCAAGUCGAACGAGAAAAUCCUUCGGGAUGAGUACAGUGGCGCACGGGUGAGUAAUGCUUGGGUAACCUGCCUUAAAGACCGGGACAACCUUCCGAAAGGAGGGCUAAUACUGGAUAAGACCACGCGAACUGCGGUUCGUGAGGUCAAAGGGAGCUCACAAGGUUUCGCUUUGAGAUGGGCCCAAGUCGCAUUAGCUAGAUGGUAGGAACGCCUACCAUGGCUGCGAUGCGUAGCUGGUCUGAGAGGACGAUCAGCCACACUGGAACUGAGACACGGUCCAGACUCCUACGGGAGGCAGC